rnacentral:rRNA from 1 species
AUUGAACGCUGGCGGCAGGCCUAACACAUGCAAGUCGAGCUCGCGGCGGACGGGUGAGUAAUGUAUGGGGACUGCCCGUUCGCGAGGGAUCACUCCUGGAAACGGUGGCUAAUCCCGCAUCAUGUCGGAUAACCCAUAUGGGAUUAGCUAGUAGGUCAGGGAAUGGCUUACCUAGGCGACGAUCCCUAGUUGGUCUGAGAGGAUGAUCAGCCACACUGGGACUGAGACACGGCCCAGACUCCUACGGAGGCAGCAGUGGGGAAUAGUGCACAAUGGGCGCAAGCCUGAUGCAGCAAUGCCGCGGGUAUGAAGAAGGCCCUAGGGUUGUAAAGUACUUUCAGUAGGGAGGCGUUACCGACAGAAGAAGCACCGGCUAACUCCGUGCCAGCCGCCGCGGUAAUAC